rnacentral:rRNA from 1 species
UACGGGGGGGGCAAGCGUUGUUCGGAAUUACUGGGCGUAAAGGGCUCGUAGGCGGCCAACUAAGUCAGACGUGAAAUCCCUCGGCUUAACCGGGGAACUGCGUCUGAUACUGGAUGGCUUGAAUCCGGGAGAGGGAUGCAGAAUUCCAGGUGUAGCGGUGAAAUGCGUAGAUAUCUGGAGGAAUACCGGUGGCGAAGGCGGCAUCCUGGACCGGCAUUGACGCUGAGGAGCGAAAGCGUGGGGAGCGAACAGG